UACAUGGGGUGCAAACGUUGCUCGGAAUUAUUGGGCGUAAAGCGCGCGUAGGCGGUUAUCUAAGUCGGAUGUGAAAGCCCUCGGCUUAACUGAGGAAGUGCACCCGAAACUGGAUAGCUAGAGUACGAAAGAGGGUCGCGGAAUUCCCGGUGUAGAGGUGAAAUUCGUAGAUAUCGGGAGGGACACCGGUGGCGAAGGCGGCGACCUGGGUCGAGACUGACGCUGAGGCGCGAAAGCGUGGGGAGCAAACAGG
rnacentral:rRNA from 1 species